rnacentral:rRNA from 1 species
UGGGGAAUAUUGGACAAUGGGCGAAAGCCUGAUCCAGCAACGCCGCGUGAGGGAUGACGGCCUUCGGGUUGUAAACCUCUUUCAGCAGGGACGAAGCGCAAGUGACGGUACCUGCAGAAGAAGCACCGGCCAACUACGUGCCAGCAGCCGCGGUAAUACGUAGGGUGCGAGCGUUGUCCGGAAUUAUUGGGCGUAAAGGGCUCGUAGGCGGUUUGUCGCGUCGGGAGUGAAAACUCAGGGCUUAACCCUGAGCCUGCUUCCGAUACGGGCAGACUAGAGGUAUGCAGGGGAGAACGGAAUUCCUGGUGUAGCGGUGAAAUGCGCAGAUAUCAGGAGGAACACCGGUGGCGAAGGCGGUUCUCUGAGCAUUACCUGACGCUGAGGAGCGAAAGUGUGGGGAGCGAACAGGAUUAGAUACCCUGGUAGUCCACACCGUAAACGUUGGGCGCUAGGUGUGGGACUCAUUCCACGAGUUCCGUGCCGCAGCUAACGCAUUAAGCCG